rnacentral:rRNA from 1 species
GAUGAACGCUGGCGGCGUGCCUAAUACAUGCAAGUCGAGCGAACGGACGAGAAGCUUGCUUCUCUGAUGUUAGCGGCGGACGGGUGAGUAACACGUGGAUAACCUACCUAUAAGACUGGGAUAACUUCGGGAAACCGUAGCUAAUACCGGAUAAUAUUUUGAACCGCAUGGUUCAAAAGUGAAAGACGGUCUUGCUGUCACUUAUAGAUGGAUCCGCGCUGCAUUAGCUAGUUGGUAAGGUAACGGCUUACCAAGGCAACGAUGCAUAGCCGACCUGAGAGGGUGGUCGGCCACACUGGAACUGAGACACGCUCAAGACUCCUACGGGAGGCAGCAGUAGGGAAUCUUCCGCAAUAGGCGAAAGCCUGACGGAGCAACGCCGCGUGAGUGAUGAAGGUCUUCGGAUCGUAAAACUCUGUUAUUAGGGAAGAACAUAUGUGUAAGUAACUGUGCACAUCUUGACGGUACCUAAUCAGAAAGCCACGGCUAACUACGUG